GGUGCCAUAGCUCAGUUGGUAGAGCAAAGGACUGAAAAUCCUUGUGUCCCCGGUUCGAUUCCUGGGGGCACCA
rnacentral:tRNA from 1 species